rnacentral:tRNA from 1 species
GCUGAUUUAGUUUAGUGGUAGAACAAAUGCAUGGUAAGCAUUAGAGAACUGUUCAAUUCAGUUAUUCAGCACCA